UAUUAACAUGUAUAUGUAUUUUUUUUUUGUUAAGAUUCCAGUUUUUCAAUUUUGUAAUUUAUGUGCCAAUUUAAAGUACUACACAGAGAAUUUCUCGUCCCACCAUCAAAGGUGGAGUCGCCAACUAUCAGAAUCGAACCCUAGCGAUUUCUUGGCACGAUUGGAUAAUAGAAAGUGAACAGUCUCGAAGAACGAACAGCUGAUUCUCUCACCGCAAUCGAAACUUUGAUGCAGAAAACGUUCCCGACAUUCUCAAUCGCAAAGACGGUACUUCCGUUUUCAAUAAGUUCAUUUUUAAUACUCCAAGGACAACAACGUCAUUAAAGAGACAUGCAUUGAUGUCAGAACAGGAUGAUAUGGAAAUCGGAGUGAUUGUUUUUCUUUUUCAAGCAUUUUCUUUAUAAAUUUUAUAACAAUCCGCCUAAGGCAAUGCAUAACGAGACAUUAAAAACAAAACAAAAAAAGACAGUGAAGCUUCCUGAAAUGAUAAUAUCUCUCUUAUAACAUUUGAAUGAUUAUUAUACUUAAAUGUCCAUCCGUAUUUUAAAUAACAGAUUCUACUUGGAUAAGCGAUGAUAAAAAUAAAGAAAGACGGUCAUCGAUACUAGUCAAAAGAUUAAAGUUAUCGAGAUGUUUGCACGCACCUGUAUUCGUUAUGAGAUAAUUGAAUCGAGACUCGUCUUUGAAUAUAUAAGGUGUUCUAAGAAAUUUCUAUACAUUAGUAGUCAUGAUAUCGGUAAGGAACCAACAAGCGUUGGCCACAAAAUAAUUUUAAAUCAUUUGGAGAAGGCUAUAUCCUAAAUGUAAAAAAAAUUUGUCUCUGUUUUAGCAUUGAAAUUACGAAGAAACUUUUUACUCAAUCUAAUACUUAUAUCCUAAAAUUAAAUGUUUACAUCAACCGUUCAAAUAAUUCAAUUAUGGCUUAAAAGUAAAUUUCA